rnacentral:rRNA from 1 species
CUUAACUCCGAGACUGCAUUCGAUACUGCCGUGCUUGAGGACGGGAGAGGAGACUGGAAUUUACGGUGUAGCGGUGAAAUGCGUAGAUAUCGUAAGGAACACCAGUGGCGAAGGCGGCUCUCUGGACCGUUCCUGACGCUGAGGCACGAAAGCCAGGGGAGCAAACGGGAUUAGAUACCCCGGUAGUCCUGGCCCUAAACGAUGCUCGUUUGGUGUGGGAGGAUUCCACCCCUUCUGCGCCGGAGCUAACGCGUUAAACGUGCCGCCUGGGGAGUACGGUCGCAAGAUUAAAACUCAAAGAAAUUGACGGGGGCCCGCACAAGCGGUGGAGUAUGUGGCUCAAUUCGAUGCAACGCGAAGAACCUUACCUGGGCUUGACAUGCAUUGCACAGUUGGAGAAAUCCACCUUCUGCAUCAAUCGAUACCGUGCACGUGUGCUGCGUGGGUGUCCUCCUCUCGUGUCGUGAUAUGUUGUGUUAUCUCCCGCCACGAGCGCAACCUCUGUGAACUGUU